GCAUAACGGAGUGGUUGCAUCUCCUGGAAACUCUCGGCAGAUGCUGUAAAUAUCUGUCUGGUUGUUUCUUCAAUGAACUUCAAAUAAUGUAGGCGGAAAACAGGCUUCCUACUAAGCAUUCCAGGCCAGAUGUUUUCAGAAACUGUACGGUAUAUAUUUGCAAUGUGAACACGAAGUUCUUCUCGACGGGACCUUUGGCUCUUCCAUUUUGGUUUCCCUUCUGCCUCCAGAGAGGCCUCGUCAAUGAAAGAUGCAAGCUCACUAAACAUGACUUCACAUAUUUCAAGAUGGGAGUGCCCCAGAGCCAUUGUAGCUGCA
rnacentral:misc_RNA from 1 species